GACGAACGCUGGCGGCGUGCUUAACACAUGCAAGUCGAACGGAAAGGCCCUGCUUUUGUGGGGUGCUCGAGUGGCGAACGGGUGAGUAACACGUGAGUAACCUGCCCUUGACUUUGGGUUAACUUCAGGAAACUGGGGCUAAUACCGGAUAGGAGCUCCUGCUGCAUGGUGGGGGUUGGAAAGUUUCGGCGGUUGGGGAUGGACUCGCGGCUUAUCAGCUUGUUGGUGGGGUAGUGGCUUACCAAGGCUUUGACGGGUAGCCGGCCUGAGAGGGUGACCGGCCACAUUGGGACUGAGAUACGGCCCAGACUCCUACGGGAGGCAGCAGUGGGGAAUAUUGCACAAUGGGCGGAAGCCUGAUGCAGCAACGCCGCGUGCGGGAUGACGGCCUUCGGGUUGUAAACCGCUUUCGCCUGUGACGAAGCGUGAGUGACGGUAAUGGGUAAAGAAGCACCGGCUAACUAUGUG
rnacentral:rRNA from 1 species